rnacentral:rRNA from 1 species
CCUACGGGUGGCUGCAGUGGGGAAUAUUGGGCAAUGGGCGCAAGCCUGACGCAGCAACGCCGCGUGAAGGAAGAAGGCUUUCGGGUUGUAAACCUCUUUGACAGGGGAAGAGCAGAAGACGGCACCCUGAAAACAAGCCACGGCUAACUACGUGCCAGCAGCCGCGGUAAUACGUAGGGGGCAAGUGUUGUCCGGAUUUACUGGGUGUAAGGGGCGUGUAGCCGGGAAGGAAAGUCAGAUGUGAAAGCUGGAGGCGCAACCUCCAAAUUGCAUUUGAAACUGUUUUUCUUGAGUACUGGAGAGGCAGGCGGAAUUCCUUGUGUAGCGGUGAAAUGCGUAGAUAUUAGGAGGAACACCAGUGGCGAAGGCGGUCUGCUGGACAGCAACUGACGGUGAGGCGCGAAAGCGUGGGGAGCAAACAGGAUUAGAUACCCUAGUAGUC